GCUAGGUGGGGUGGCACAAGGUUAGAGAUCCCCACGGGUACCAGAACACCCCACCCCCACCCCAGGCCUCUUAUUUGGGGUAGGGGAGCCCCAGAAAGAGUUCUAUCUUUAAGGGAAAAAUGAAGACUGCAUGACUUUACUUCAUUAAAUAUCUAUUAGAGCCAGGCACUGUACAGGGUAGUGAGCACACAAAGGUAAAGCUAAAAGUUCCUGUCCUCAGAAAGCUUAUAGUCUGCUGAGGAAAAUAUGGACAACAUUAAGUAAACACUCAAUAUAUACAAAAGUAAUUUCCAGAUGAUGAAAAUACCAUCAAAGUAUAGGACAAUGAAAGGCUUCUCUCAUAUAGAAGGUGCUCCCUGAAGUGUGAGUCUUUCAGAACCCUGGAGACUAGAAGAGGCUGAGGGGAAGAAGGAGACUGCUCCAGGGGUUCAGUCUAUAUUUGUAGGAAGGCACCAAAACUGAUGAGGCAAUACUGAGUUCAGGAAGUUCAAAGGCCCAUUGUAGGAACAAUGUGAAGCCAGUCUGGAAAGAUGGGACUGGAAUCAUAUUGGGAAGGAAUUUAAAAUGUCAAACAAGUACUUUCUAUUUUAUCCUAGAGGUAACAGGAAAGCACUGGACCUUCUUGAUUUGUGCUUUAAAAACAUCAAUUCUGUGGCUAUGGAGAGGAGAGAAAUUGGAUACAUGGAGACCAUUUAGGAAGUUAUUGUAAUAGUCCAGGGAAAGGAACCCCAGAGCCUGUCUCAUUAAGUGCCUCCCCUUAAAGCAGAGAGACCCUGAGGGGCUGAAGGCCUCACCUGCCAAUGAUGUGGGCAUCACCUGUCUCCACCGUUAGCUGGGAGUUGAUCGCCUCAAAACUGGAGUUUUCUAAGAGCUUCAUCUUCUGCAGGGGCCAGGGCCAAGGAAGUCAAGGGCCUUGGGUUAGGGCAGCAAAGAAAGUGUGCCUGUUGGGUACAUGGGGCCCGUCA